UACGAAGGGGGCUAGCGUUGCUCGGAAUGACUGGGCGUAAAGGGCGCGUAGGCGGUUUGUACAGUCAGAUGUGAAAUUCCUGGGAUUAACCUGGGGGCUGCAUUUGAUACGUGCAGACUUGAGUGAGGAAGAGGGUUGUGGAAUUCCCAGUGUAGAGGUGAAAUUCGUAGAUAUUGGGAAGAACACCGGUGGCGAAGGCGGCAACCUGGUCCUUGACUGACGCUGAGGCGCGAAAGCGUGGGAGCAAACAGG
rnacentral:rRNA from 1 species